GGGCGAUUAACUCAGGGGUAGAGUACCACCAUGACAAGGUGGGAGCCACUGGUUCAAAUCCAGUAUCGCCCA
rnacentral:tRNA from 11 species